GAUCUGGGGUUGUUACAGCAAUUGGCCUACCUGACUAAUCUAAAUAACUCUGAUUCAUUCUUUAGGCAUCGGCUUAAACGUGACUUCGUCUUUUGGGCUGACCUGUUUGCCCUACAUGCCUGGAGGUGGGACAGAAAGGUGACUGGACAAAACUGUAGGGUGUACCUAGGACUUGGAUUAAGAUGCAGAUUGUGUGAUUCCAUUACACACUUGGGAGGUGUGAGAAACUCGAGACGCCUGUCAAAGCAUUUCCAAAGAGCCCACCUGAUUGGAUCUGAACAACCCAGAUGGGAACCUGGAGGCUCAGAAAGCUGCAGUGUCAGGAACAGAUGGAGAAGGAGCGAGAGUGACCAUGGAGACGGGCGGGGAGGCUGUGGAGUCACGAGCAGAAAGAGGGGAACUGACGGAUUCUUGCGACGUUUCAGGGAGGGUCACACAACUUGGCGAUGGCUUGAAUUUGGGGCUUGAGAGAAAAGAUGAAGUCCAGGGUCAUCCAGGUUUAGACUUCAACAACUGGAGGAGAAAGUGGUGACAUCUGAAAUAACUGAAGAAAAAGCCACUGGGAGGGGAGAACCCUUUAAUUGAACAGGACUUCUGGUUUCUGUCUUGGUCCCCACAUGGAAUAAAGGGACCAGCCUGAGCUGCUUGAAAAGUCA
rnacentral:lncRNA from 1 species